CGAUCUCGCUCUCACACACUUGUGCACCUAUUGUAGGUCCUCGAAAGAGGAUCUAUGUUUCUAUAUAAUACACCCGUCGUAUGUCUACAGAAUGUCAGAAAGCUUUACCGAACGGAGGGUGAUUCCUCCUAAUAGAGGGCUCGAAUUUUAUACAACUUUCAGCAAUGGAUCUCUUGGCUCUCGCAUCGAUGAAGAACGCAGCGAAUUGCGAUAAGUAAUGUGAAUUGCAGAUUUUCAGUGAAUCAUCGAAUCUUUGAACGCACCUUGCGCUCCUUGGUAUUCCGAGGAGCAUGCCUGUUUGAGUGUCAGUGAAUUCAUCAACCAUGUCGUCGACAUAUGCGACAUGGCUUGGACUUGGGAGCUGCCGGUCAGUCACGAUCGGCUCUCCUGAAAUACAUUAGUGGAGGGAUGGAGACUAGCGUUUCUUUGGCCUUGGACGUGUUAAACCCUCGCCCUGGCUGGAGUGUCGCUACGCUCUCGAACCGGUCUGCUUCGAACACUAUAUAUCGAGAUCAGUUACUACCAGCACGGACGAACGCGGCUCGAACUUCAAACGUCGAGCUUAGCUAUUAGUCUGGAUGGGAACACGGUCUCAAUUCAUUUGGAAACUUGACCUCAAAUCAGGUAGGACUACCCGCUGAACUUAAGCAUAUCAAUAAGCGGAGGAAAAGAAACUAACAAGGAUUCCCCUAGUAACUGCGAGUGAAGAGGGAAGAGCUCAAAUUUUGAAUCUGGCGGUCGUCUGGCCGUCCGAGUUGUAAUCUAGAGAAGCGUCUUCCGCGUCGGACCCGUGUACAAGUCUCCUGGAAGGGAGCGUCAUAGAGGGUGAGAAUCCCGUCUUUGACACGGACGAACCGAGGCUAUGUGAUGCGCUCUCAACGAGUCGAGUUGU
rnacentral:rRNA from 1 species